CAGGAACAAAAACAGAAGUUGUUGGAAAAGCUCAGCAGAUGCUGCCAGACCUGCUGAGCUUCUCCAGCAACUUCUGUUUUUUGUUCAACGGUGAUGUCACCACAGACUUUGGGGUUGAAUUGAAGAAACAAAAUGACAACACUGGCCAAUCAAUCUCUGCAUGAAGGUUGACUGCAAAUAUUAUCAACAGCAGCCUGAACUGUGAAGUUCUGGGUUUCAACCUUGCCCAGGAAAUCUUGAUAGCAUUUAACUAAUUAAGGAUGAGUCCGAAAAGAUGAGACGUCAUGCUUUACAAGUGGAACAUGAACAAUUGCUCAAAUUGUUACCCUACUCCUCCAAGUCUGUCCAUUACUCACGUGCUAACCUCUUGACCUGAGGCAUCAGAACUAUUCACAUUGCAUCGGAUGAAACUAUUGACUGGAUUCUUCACCAUGAUGUUGAACUACAGUUGCUGCCCCAAAUAUACUAAUGAAGUGUUCUACGAAUAAAGUAUUCUCGUUGAAAGAA